UACGGAGGGUGCAAGCGUUAAUCGGAAUUACUGGGCGUAAAGCGCACGUAGUCGGCUUUGCAAGCCGGUUGUGAAAUCCCCGGGCUCAACCUGGGAACUGCAUCCGGGACUGCAUUGCUAGAGUAUGGGAGAGGGAAGCGGAAUUUCUGGUGUAGCAGUGAAAUGCGUAGAUAUCAGAAGGAACAUCAGUGGCGAAGGCGGCUUCCUGGACCAAUACUGACGAUCAGGUGCGAAAGCGUGGGGAGCAAACAGG
rnacentral:rRNA from 1 species